UACAGAGGUCUCAACCGUUGUUCGGAUUCAUUGGGCGUAAAGGGUGCGUAGGCGGCGGGGUAAGUCAGGUGUGAAAUCUCGGGGCUCAACCCCGAAACUGCACUUGAUACUGCCUCGCUUGAGUACUGGAGAGGAGACUGGAAUUUACGGUGUAGCAGUGAAAUGCGUAGAUAUCGUAAGGAAGACCAGUGGCGAAGGCGGGUCUCUGGACAGUUCCUGACGCUGAGGCACGAAGGUCAGGGGAGCAAACGGG
rnacentral:rRNA from 1 species